rnacentral:lncRNA from 10 species
GGACACCUCGGGGGUUUCCUGCUUUAUGGCGAAGGUGAAAGAACAUCAGUGUAUCAGCACAGCAAAUAUUCCAAAUGCCAGGCUGGAUUCCCUCCAAUUACCAGGACCUCCAGGCUUCUCCUCCUUUCAAGAACUUUCUGACCCUGGAUCCAGUCUAAAUGUUGGUUAUAAACUCACCUGACAUCCACAGGGCCCUUCCAAAAUACUGUCAAGGCUGACUGCUGGUGCCUGGAACCUGCACACCCUCCUGGGACUCUGCAUCUCUGCUGGGGCUGGUUUCUCCUCUGAGCCACCUUAAGGAAUCCCACCCUGACCCGGUCAGAGCUCACCAUGCCUCCCUCUCCUACUUGCUCAGCAUUUUGUGUCUAUCUAGACUGAAGCCUUUGCUUUCUCUCUGUGAUUAUGGUGAAAGUUCAGUUUGCUUUCCUAUCUCUAGAAUGUCAGCACGAAGGCAGAGGCAUGGUCUCCUGAGUUCCAUAACCCCAAAGCCUAACUCCCUGCCUGCCACACUGAGGGGCUUAGUAGACAUUGACUUACUAAAUUGAAUAGUUGAGUAAUAAUGCUCUU